UGUUGAGUAUCUCUGUUAACUAUGAUGUUUUUCCUUCUAAGACUUUUCUCUGUAGUUGAGAUCAUAUAACAAAAACCAUGUUCUGUUUUUUGGGUUUUUUUUUUUUUUUUUUUGCUUAAUGUUAUAACACUGACAUUUUUAGUUUCUUAAAGCGAAAGAGUGAGAGAGAUCUUCUAAGAGAUGAUAAACGGCAUACCUCUUAAUCAAUCAGCAUUUUCAAGUGACUAGAAUAUUCCUUUUCCCAAAUAUUCGGGAAGUGCAAUGUUCAUCACUCAAACUAUAUAUUUACAGGCUCACUUGAAAUUAACAGGCAUAUCAAUCCCAUACACGCAAGUGGAUCCUGGGUUAAACUUCAAAAGAAGUUCACAUCCUUCAUCCCAUAUCUUAGCAGAUUCUCAGGGGCUGACGCUACUCAUUUCCUCUCUCUGACAGAGCCCUCAGCAGGCUCCAGGGAGGAAGCUCAGAGCAGAACGAUCACAGGCGAGCAAGCACUAGAGUCAAGAUCUAUUCAAGAGCACUGCCAGAUUGCUCUGCAGAACGGCUGCCCCAGCCUACACUGGGAGGGAGUGCGGCCGCACAGGCUUCGUUUUGAGUGGAUCAUCUCCAGGAAGCAGAGGAAGUGGUGGACGUGGCUUUAAGAAGGCAAUGACUCCCAGCUCUUGGUCCCAAGCAUCCAACAGUUGACAGAGAGGACCACUCAUGGCAGAUACCCACAUUCCCCAUCUAGAGCUUGGGAGAACUGGAAUAUAGCAGAAUGUCAUGUGUCUAGCAUGUUUUUCUCUCUAGAACAAAGGGUGUAAACCAGCAGGAGGGGUGUGUGUGUAUGUGUGUGUGUGUGCGCGCAUGCGCAUGCUUCUACUGUGGUCCUGAAAGGAAUCCUGUCCUUUGUAGCCACAGGGCAAGAUUUCUGAAAGCUGAACCCAACAAAUCCUGAGGUGGCUGAAUUAUAACGCAAAUUCAACUCACAGCCUUGUAAGGAAGGAGGAAUAGGGAGAAUGGGACCCUCAAUAUCGAGAUGGGGACACAUGGGCGUAUUCCGAUGAAUCUGAGGACUGUGAACUCCCCAGUUCUAUAAGUCUCCUUCUCGAGUUGAAACAACCCUCGCUCCCCAUCUGAGAGGGUAAUCUUCCCCUGCCUGUAGAGUCUAUUAUGAAAUGCCCUGAGCUAGCAACAUCCAGGGUUGUAGGUCCACCCCAAGAUCCACCUGUACCACCUCUUACUUCUUCUAGAUUUAUGACCUGUUGCGAUUUCCAGCAGCUCUAGGGGAUAUGAUCUGUCACCUACCAAAUUCUGCCAGUUUAUAUCAACAGGCACCUGGGUCAUAUACAUUCAAAUGAUUCAUAAGGAUGUUGGAUGAGGGUGAGAGGAAUGUGAUAUUGGAUCAGGCCUUAUUUCUUGAUAUGAGCUCAUUAUCUAGAAAUUCUGGAUUCAGUGAGUCUGCUCAAGCGACUAGGAGUGGUUCUAACUGUCUGUUUGAUAGUCACUGAAACCUGGGCCCCAAGGUGGCCAAGAUGGAGUGAAGUUGAAAUGCCAGAACUUCCUUGGUGUUCCACAGUAGACUUAGGGGGAUUGGAUUUCUGGACUAAGUUUUUGAUAUAAUUGUUCACCUGCGCCUGAGUUAUACCCCUAGAAGUUUCC
rnacentral:lncRNA from 1 species